rnacentral:misc_RNA from 1 species
CGUUAAUAUAACAAGUAACUUUAAAAUGAAGCCAGAACUUCUAAAAUACUAGUAAAAAUGUGUCAAACACACAUUAACGAAUGCUUUAAUGCAAACAAAUAUGGUGGGGGUCAUUGUGACAAUAGUGCCAAUGAGAUGAUCAGUUUUGGACCUUCAUUCUGAAUCGAGCAUUUAUUCUGUGGUAAAACUCUGCUUUUUUUAAAUCAAGCCAAAUAAGUUCCCACUAGAAUUAUGUAAUACGGACCCAUGUGUACAACACUAACUAUCAACGGCCGUGCUUAGCUUCCCAUUACAUGAGCAUUUUUAUAGCAAUCAAAACAAAAUUGCUAGUUAUGCAUAACCAACUGCACAAGAAAUUACUUGUAGUCCACAAAGAGAGGACAAUAAGAAACUCAUUGAAACCCAAAAGUAUGAUGCCUUCCACAACAAUUGGAAGCCUUGUCCUUGAAAUAUAAAGAACAAAGUCACAAACCAUGUGUUUCUUUAUGAGCUUGUCCCUUUCAUUCUCAGAUAUCUCAGACAAAUGUAGGAUCAAACUUUGAAGCACCAAAGCUCCCUUGUCUGAACCAGGCCUCUUGCUACAGUGCAAUGCAAUACAAACUGAAAAUAUUUGCACAAAGUGAUUUUUAACUAAAACUGUCAAAGGUUGACCAGCAAUCCUAGCCACCCAAUUCAGGUUGGACUUGUCCUCAUGCAAAACUAAAGCUGGGAGAAGCCAAUGGCAACAGUAUUGCAUGAAAUAACUAGGUUCAGCAUCUGGUACAAAAAGUUGCCUUAUCUCAACAAGUGCAACUAAGCUAACACCACAAGCAACCCAGAAAAACAGAAUAGUUCCAAUGAGUUCCUCCAAGUACUGUGCCCAAUAGACAAAGGUUCAAGCUAACUCAAGACAGAAGGGUAAACAUUCAUAAACUGUUAACUAAUAAGCCUCAAGGAUCCAGUUGAGUACUUUAGUAAAAAGAAAGGGUAGUGCACUUUGGAAUAUUGAGAUAAACAUCCUUAUGAAAGUGACAGAUAUCUUUUUAACUUUUAGCAGUAUAUAGCAUUUCAAUAUAUCAACAUUAAAAGUUACUUAAAGGAGAGAACUACAAUUGCAACCUUGAACCUAGUUGCGUAUUGAAGCUGCCUUGAUAGAUUAUCAAGUACUGCAAUGACCAACUCCCUGAAGCAAAAGGACUAUCAGUUCCAAAAACUAACUAUCCCUCAUUACAAAUUGGAUAAGGUGGAAUAUCGUACCUGUGAAAAGGGUCAAUAGCAGCAACUACACACAUCAUGAAAAUGGCCUCCAACUCUAUUUUCUCACUAUGCAGAGCAACAUGCAUAAGAGUGAUAAUAGUAGUUUCCAUUGUUGGACGUGGCUGAGGACCAGCAGCCAGGACCUCUUUUGCACUAACAAGUUUUCCUUUAGAGUGAAGCACCAUUAUGACACCAAAGUUUGAACAGAUAUCUUGGAAGAGUUCCUCAUGGCCAUCCCAUGUUUCAAAUAGAACACCAAUCCGUCGAGCCAGGGAAAACCUAACUCGAUAAUCGGGAUCUUGAAGCAAUAAGAACAAUCUUUGUAUCAUUGUCUGACCAAUUUGAGGAGUGAGUAAGACAAAAGUACAAAUGCAAUCAAUUAGCUUAACACGUCCCAUCCAGUCAGGAAGACCAAAUUCUGCAACUUUGAUAACAAGAUCUCCAAGACAUGUCAAACUCAGGUCAGAUAUUUUUCCAGUCAAACUUAGGUCUGCAUCCUUUCCAACAGCACCAAGGGAUAAUAACGUGCGCAGCAACUGACAGGUGGCAACUAGUAUGCUAGCACAAUCAAGUUUAACAAUCACUCGUAUCUCAAUCAUGUUAAGCAUUGAUUUGACCAAGUCCAUAAUCUUUGCAGUAGAGGACCAGUGUGGAUGUUGACACAGAUGAUAAAGAACAUUCUCACAGACCUUUGUUUCACCUUCUUUUACCAGAAUUUCAAAAAGGAUAUCCCAUGUAACAAAAUCUAAAACUGAGAAAAAACUUGAAAUGAGUGACACCAUUCCCAACUUCCACUUCACCAUAGAAAAGGAUGUAUCAGUACUAAUUUUGCCACCAAAAGUUAAAAUAUCCACAUCUUUCGAAUGCUCAUUCACAUCUAAAUCCAUGUCCACAAUCCUACUCCUACCACUAUCUAUCAGGCUAGAUAUUUGUGAGGAAGCAGCAGAUGAAUCAGACAGUGUCAAUUCAGAAUGAGGAUCUCUUAUAUAUUCAGAAAAUUGUUCAUACAGUUUAGCUAGUGCCUUCAAGAGCCUCUCCAUGGAUUGAAUUACAGCACCAUAAAGUACAGCAUCCAUAGCAUUUUCAUCUCCCCUUUUCAAAAAGAUAGGACAGGAAACUAGGCUUCUAAAUGAAGCUAAAAGACGGUUUUUUGCAAUGCAUUCAGAGCCAGAGCCCACAUGGCCAAGAGAUUGAAAGUCACAGCCAUUUUCUUUAAUUACAUUAACAGCAUUAUCCAACAAUUCUAACAAGUACUGCCCCAUUUUGGAUACAAAUGUCAGCAUCUCUUCUCUUUUCCUUGUUACCAAUGAGCCAUGUAUAAAAUUAGAUAAUAAUGCACAUAUGAAGUUGACAUCAGAUAAAGGCGUCAUGUUGGCCUGCUUAUUCACUAGAGCACCAAGAAUAUGAGCCUCAAUUUCAUGCAGCAGUGUAUCUCUUAAUUGGCUGGGAAGUCGUACGCUUUGAUUGCAUUGGAAUGGAAAAAUCUCGACUUGAGAACCCAAAUCAAUUUUUGCAAGAAUCUCCACUGAGCAUUCAAAAAGUUCACAAAGCCUUUCAUGCUGAUUUUCAUCUGUCUUAACCCAAUCAUCUGCAGCCUCAAGAUCAUAUGUAGAAGAGUGUGAUGAGCGAAUCACUUUAUAACAAUGUGUGAAAGGAGCACAGCCAGCACAAAGAGCAAAAACAGCUGCCGGUAACAAUAGCACUAUAUGCUCAUUCAAUAUGGAAGACUCCUUCCAGUUUAGAUAGCCCAAAACUGCUGUCAAGAGAUUCUUCCUGAGAUGUAAAGAGUCUCGAAGGUCUCCUUGAGAACCCUUAUGAGAAAAAUAGCACACGAUGAAGUACAAAACAGACUUUGAUGGCAUUUGCUUAAAUAAUUUAAGGUCCCAUACAUCUUGAGGCACAACAAAUGCAUUCAUUGGAUCACUUGAUAUAAUGCUUCCAAGUAGCAUUAAAGCGGCAUCUGCAAUGGCAGUUAGAUUGCUGAAUAAUGGCAGCCCACGCGUUAGACAGCUCCAUAUUAACUGCCAACCAGAGUCCAACUCAUUCAACAUGGAAGAAGACCUCAACAAUAUCUCCACUUGAGAAUCUGAAAGCAGCAAAACAGUUGAUAGCUCCUGCAAACUCCGCAAAGUCCACAGCAAACCAUCAUAAGCAUGCCCCGUAUUUGCAUCAGACCAAAUCCUCUCAAAGUUUGUCGAAAUGCCUUCAAACCAGUAUAUGAAAAGAUCCUUAUUCAUGCGACUGUAGUAGUUAUGAAUGAGACAACAAAAUGCAGCAUUCCAUAACCACUUUCCUUUCAUAAGUGCCUCUUUUAAAAGGACAGCAGCAUGCUCCCUCUUAACCCGCUUUUCAGUUGGUUGUGCUUUAGCUGUGCUAGCACAUGCCUGAUAAAAUACUAGGGCAGCAAGCUGCACCAAACCAGAUUGUGAACCGCUCAAAGUUCCAAGCUUAUCGUCCUUGGUUGCAUCUGUCCAAGGAACAGCCACACUGGAUAAACUGCCUUGAUCUAGUUCCUUACAUACUACCUCCAAAAAUUGCUCUACCAAAGAAUUUCCAUCAGCAGCACCUCUUGCUAGAUUAAGCUGCAGCCUGGCAUAGAAUAUAAUAGCAUCCUUCAGACCCCUGUCAUGGGUUGUAAGCCAAUAACGAAACACCAAUUGCCGCACAGCAUCAUGGAUCUCCAAAGACUGACUAGCCAAAUUUGGACCAUCUUUUAACAAGUAUGUAUUAACACACUCAAUAAGUUUACGUGACAACUUUCCCUCCUCCCUUACAAAGGAGAAAAUUUGAACGAACCCCUUAACAAUGUCUUCCCUGAGUUCAUCUGGGAAAUCUCCAGGAGGAUUUUCCAAUAGUGAAUGCAGUGUCAGGAUGCAGCGAAAGACCUCCUCUUUUAGACUAACUUGAUUAUCAUUUUUCCCUUCCACACCUGUUUCCACCUUCUCUAUAUACAGACGCAUCAGGCAGCAAUAAAUGCGGUUCCUCAAGUGAAAUCGAUAAUCUCUAAUUGCCAAUAGAUGGCGGAGUAUAAUCCCAUAUUCUAACUGAAAGCUUGGAACAUUGCUUAAGACAUCCCAUAUGUGACUGAAGAGCGUUUUAACCACAGGUAACAAGGGCAACAUCUUGCCUGAAAACUUAGCAUCUUCUGCUCGUUGAACAACAAUUCGUAGUGUUUUUGCAAAACUUGCCUUGGGUAAUCUUCGCUUGCUGCUAGAUAUCUCCGAUGACACACAUUGAAUAAGCAAUGUAACCAAAAAUGGCCACGUUUCAGAGUGCGGAAUUUCAUUCGGCUUGAGCUUUGCAGUGUUGUGUCCAAGGAACUUGCAGAAUUUUAUCGAUCUUUCUCCUUCAAACCAAGCGCUCAACAAUUUUAUUCCAUCUUCUCGGGCUUUGGCUUUAUCGGAUGAGAGCUUUGAGACGAUUUCUUGAACGUCUCUAGAAGUGACCAUCACCGAUUCCCGGAAGCUUCCAGAGCGAGGGACAGCGAAUUGGCGGGAAAAAAGGAAGCGAGAAUUUAGCGAUUAGAAGAGAGAAGUAAAAGAGUUGGAAAGGGUUUUAGUUUACUAUAGAACAGCAAGAGGUCCUUUUUAGCUGACUUCAGUGUGCCGCGGCGUGUUUUGUGAAAGCGGAUACCAAAGCGGAACGAGGGAAAUUGGGGAUGGCGGCCUUUGAAUUCACCGUUAAAUCCACCGAUCUUCUUAAUAAUGACUCUCGUUGUAGGGAACUGGGCUGCCGGUAGAUAUGCGUAGA